CCAACACCGUCCAAGACGACAACCUUUUCCUUGGAAAGUGUUGUGAAGUUACAUGUAGUUGGUGGCUACUUUAAAAAUGUAAUUGAUGACUUGUUGAAUGGGCAUUGGUGAUUAAAAGUCGAAAAAUCUUCGUUUCUUGGAGCAGCGCAUACGUCGUGCAUCCGUCGCGUUAACAAAUAGUGGUACUAAUGUGUACUUUAACUUUGUAAUGGAUUGGUUGACGAUUCCUAAAAAGUUACAAUGCAAAAAGUAUGAACAAGAUUUUGUUUAGAAAUUUAGGAACGGCAUGCUUGGAAAGAGAGCACUAUGAUGAUGACCUUUGUUUUCAUUCAUCCCGCCAUGACCCCCGACUGCGACUGCGACCGUGACCCAUUCUUAACUAACCCCUCGACAAAGCGGUUUGUUGAAAAGCAUAGAGAAAUAACGAAAUCGAUGAAAUAGCAGUAUGGGUAUAAUAACGAUAUGGAUGUAUAGAACUCACAAAAGACAUCUACGAUACAUAUUGUUAUUUACCAUAUUUCAAAUUACAUGUUCUAACAUACAUACUCGUUAAUUACCUCUACGGUACUAUUGGAUCAAUAACGUUGUCAUUCGAUAUCACACUUUCCACACUGAAAGAAACUACUGCAGUAAGUCUCUUUUAGCUUUGCAAAAACGUUCUUGCCAGAUCCUCAACCUUGUCUGUGUUUAUUGCUUACGGUUGGCCAGCGUUUCGGUAAGUUGGAAAAUCUUCUUUUGUUACGCACGAGCGUUUUCGCUAUCGCUAUUCGGAAUUUGAAUCACUAUCGUGACGUUGCUACGCGAUAGCCGACCACUAAAGUGUGUACUGAUUAAAGCUGCAUGAUUUUUUGCUCAUGUAAACAAACACGUCAAAAAACCUUGUUUCUCGUUGUUACUAACAUUCGGAAUGUUGGACCAACUUCAACAUACCAGCACAUUCCUUCCUUAACACAAAGAGAAUUUAAAUGCUAGUGUUUGCAUUGUGGCUUGCUUGUUAGACUACGCUAUCAGCUAUUUAACCCUACUGCGAUACAACACCUUGUUUGAUCUUGCCUUCAGUGAUGCGCUGCUGCUUCUCUCUCCUUCCUUUCCUAACUGCGUCUGCUCAAGUAGGCGGUGAUGUCAGGGUACAAGGGUACAUCUCGGAAAAAUUUUUCAUCUGCAGAUAUCAACGCGAGUACUUCGGGAAAACUUUAACUGACGUCAGUGAUGUCGGAAAAUCUUCGGCUCUUGUCAAGGAUGGCUCUUGGCCGAG